UGAGGAAUAUUGGUCAAUGGGCGAGAGCCUGAACCAGCCAAGUAGCGUGCAGGAUGACGGCCCUAUGGGUUGUAAACUGCUUUUAUAUGGGAAUAAAGUGAGGGACGUGUCCCUUAUUGCAUGUACCAUACGAAUAAGGAUCGGCUAAUUCCGUGCCAGCAGCCGCGGUAAUACGGAAGGUCCAGGCGUUAUCCGGAUUUAUUGGGUUUAAAGGGAGCGUAGGCUGUUUGUUAAGCGUGUUGUGAAAUGUAAGAGCUCAACUUUUAGAUUGCAGCGCGAACUGGCAGACUUGAGUGCGCACAACGUAGGCGGAAUUCAUGGUGUAGCGGUGAAAUGCUUAGAUAUCAUGACGAACUCCGAUUGCGAAGGCAGCUUACGGAAGCGCAACUGACGCUAAAGCUCGAAGGUGCGGGUAUCGAACAGG
rnacentral:rRNA from 1 species